rnacentral:rRNA from 1 species
GGCGAACGGGUGAGUAACACGUGGGUAACCUGCCCAUAAGAGGGGGAUAACAUCCGGAAACGGGUGCUAAUACCGCAUAGUUUCUUGAUUGCAUGAUUGAGAAAGGAAAGACGGCCUUUGUGCUGUCGCUUAUGGAUGGACCCGCGGCGUAUUAGUUAGUUGGUGAGGUAACGGCUCACCAAGACGAUGAUACGUAGCCGACCUGAGAGGGUGAUCGGCCACAUUCGGGACUGAGACACGGCCCAAACUCCUACGGGAGGCAGCAGUAGGGAAUCUUCCGCAAUGGACGAAAGUCUGACGGAGCAACGCCGCGUGAGUGAAAGAAGGUUUUCGGAUCGUAAAACUCUGUUGUCAGAGAAGAACAAGUUGGAGAGUAACUGCUCCAGCCUUUGACGGUAUCUGACCAGAAAGCCACGGCUAACUACGUGCCAGCCGCCGC